rnacentral:lncRNA from 1 species
UUACUCCCUUCCUCUCACUGAUGCCAACUGCAGUUUAUCUGUGAACUUCAGAGCGCCCAAAAUUUCAUCUGUAUAGCUGAGGAUUUCUGCAAGCCAGGCAGCCAGCAGAGGCUCUGUGCAACCUUCCAGACAACAGCUGCUGCCAAAGAGGAAGGCAGGGAUGCCUGAGCUGUGCUCACUAUGAAAUUAUCCAGGGACUAAGCCUCAGCAAGAAUGUGUGUGAAGGAUGAAAUAUUCUCCACAACCCUUUACAAAGAGCACUGCACCAGCUUGGACAGCGAACAAAAAGAGAAGGCAACACAGAAAGAUCCUGUUUUUUUCAAGAGUCUCUCCAAGAAGCAUCAGAGCAGGAUUGCAUCUGAAUACUGUGGCAUAGUCAAUGGCUACUACUGCAAAUAGGAGUGGCUGGUCUUUUUUUUUUCCACUUUAUGUUCUAGUAC